CCUACGGGAGGCAGCAGUGAGGAAUAUUGGUCAAUGGGCAAGAGCCUGAACCAGCCAAGUCGCGUGAGGGAAGACGGUCCUAUGGAUUGUAAACCUCUUUUGUCGGGGAGCAAAAAGGCCUCGUGAGGCCACAAGUGAGAGUACCCGAAGAAAAAGAAUCGGCUAACACCGUGCAAGCAGCCGCGGUAAUACGGAGGAUGCGAGCGUUAUCCGGAAUUAUUGGGCGUAAAGGGUGCGCAGCUGGCAUAGUAAGUCUUUUGUAAAAAUGCGGGGCUCAACCCAGUAGGGCUAAAGAUACUGCAAAGCUAGAGUAUGACAGAGGCAAGUGGAACUACAUGUGUAGCGGUAAAAUGCGUAAAUAUAUGUAAGAACACCAAUGGCGAAGGCAGCAUGCUGGGGCAAUACUGACAUUGAGGCACGAAAGCGUGGGGAGCGAACAGGAUUAGAUACCCUAGUAGUC
rnacentral:rRNA from 1 species